AUAUAUAAAAGUGCAUAAUAUGCCGAAGCUUUUAGAGAUCCUGAGACCUCAUCCUCUGAGACGAUCACCAUGUUCGCUGUGAAAGCAGUUUGCCUCAUCGCCACCGUCACUAUGCUUGUUGCAAUGGUGGCAGCGAUGAAGAGAUGUCAAGCAUCCACUGAAGGCUUUAAUCACUAAAAACCCUGUGUAGUCAAAUUUUAAUAAAGUAGUCAUGCAUACCUA